rfam:Heterocephalus glaber contig99071, whole genome shotgun sequence.
AUAAGGAUGCAAAAUGAAUUACUCCAAGUAACGGACUGAAGAUAGUCAAUAUUAGAAUAAUCUGGCAUCAAUUUAAAAAAAUAA